rnacentral:rRNA from 1 species
GCCUACGGGGCGCAGCAGUGAGGAAUAUUGGUCAAUGGGCGAGAGCCUGAACCAGCCGAGUCGCGUGAGGGAAGACGGUCCUAUGGAUUGUAAACCUCUUUUGCCGGGGAGCAAAAAGCGGUACGUGUACCGCAUCGAGAGCACCCGGAGAAAAAGCAUCGGCUAACUCCGUGCCAGCAGCCGCGGUAAUACGGAGGAUGCGAGCGUUAUCCGGAUUUAUUGGGUUUAAAGGGUGCGCAGGCGGCGAGUUAAGUCAGCGGUAAAAUUUCGGGGCUCAACCCCGCCGAGCCGUUGAAACUGGCUUG